rnacentral:rRNA from 1 species
UAGGGAAUAUUGCUCAAUGGGCGAAAGCCUGAAGCAGCAACGCCGCGUGUGCGAUGAAGGCCUUCGGGUCGUAAAGCACUUUUCUGAGAGAUGAGAAAGGACAGUAUCUCAGGAAUAAGUCUCGGCUAACUACGUGCCAGCAGCCGCGGUAAAAACGUAGGAGGCAAGCGUUAUCCGGAUUCACUGGGCGUAAAGCGCGUGCAGGCGGUGCGGUAAGUUGGGCGUGAAAUCUCCCGGCUCAACUGGGAGAGGUCGUCCAAUACUACCGUACUUGAGAGCAGAAGAGGAAAAUGGAAUUCCCGGUGUAGUGGUGAAAUGCGUAGAUAUCGGGAGGAACACCAGUGGCGAAGGCGAUUUUCUGGUCUGUUUCUGACGCUCAGACGCGACAGCUAGGGUAGUAAACGGGAUUAGAGACCCCGGUAAUCCUAGCCGUAAACGAUGUGAACUUGGCGUUGGUGGGUUAAACUCCAUCAGUGCCGUAGCAAACGCGAUAAGUUCACCG